rnacentral:rRNA from 1 species
UACGUAGGUGGCAAGCGUUGUCCGGAUUUACUGGGCGUAAAGGGCGUGCAGGCGGUUUGUUAAGUGCAGGGUGAAAGCCCCCGGCUCAACCGGGGGUGGUCGUGCGAUACGGGUAGGCUUGAGGUAGGUAGGGGGGACGCGGAAUUCCGGGUGUAGUGGUGGAAUGCGUAGAGAUCCGGAGGAACACCAGCGGCGAAGGCGGCGUCCUGGACCUGGCCUGACGCUCAGGAGCGAAAGCGUGGGGAGCGAUCCGG